GGAGCUUGCUCCACCGGGAAAAGAGGAGUGGCGAACGGGUGAGUAACACGUGGGUAACCUGCCCAUCAGAAGGGGAUAACACUUGGAAACAGGUGCUAAUACCGUAUAACAAUCGAAACCGCAUGGUUUCGUUUUGAAAGGCGCUUUACGGUGCCGCUGAUGGAUGGACCCGCGGUGCAUUAGCUAGUUGGUGAGGUAACGGCUCACCAAGGCCACGAUGCAUAGCCGACCUGAGAGGGUGAUCGGCCACAUUGGGACUGAGACACGGCCCAAACUCCUACGGGAGGCAGCAGUAGGGAAUCUUCGGCAAUGGACGAAAGUCUGACCGAGCAACGCCGCGUGAGUGAAGAAGGUUUUCGGAUCGUAAAACUCUGUUGUUAGAGAAGAACAAGGGUGAGAGUAACUGUUCACCCCUUGACGGUAUCUAACCAGAAAGCCACGGCUAACUACGUGCCAGCAGCCGCGGUAAUACGUAGGUGGCAAGCGUUGUCCGGAUUUAUUGGGCGUAAAGCGAGCGCAGGCGGUUUCUUAAGUCUGAUGUGAAAGCCCCCGGCUCAACCGGGGAGGGUCAUUGGAAACUGGGAGACUUGAGUGCAGAAGAGGAGAGUGGAAUUCCAUGUGUAGCGGUGAAAUGCGUAGAUAUAUGGAGGAACACCAGUGGCGAAGGCGGCUCUCUGGUCUGUAACUGACGCUGAGGCUCGAAAGCGUGGGGAGCAAACAGGAUUAGAUACCCUGGUAGUCCACGCCGUAAACGAUGAGUGCUAAGUGUUGGAGGGUUUCCGCCCUUCAGUGCUGCAGCUAACGCAUUAAGCACUCCGCCUGGGGAGUACGACCGCAAGGUUGAAACUCAAAGGAAUUGACGGGGGCCCGCACAAGCGGUGGAGCAUGUGGUUUAAUUCGAAGCAACGCGAAGAACCUUACCAGGUCUUGACAUCCUUUGACCACUCUAGAGAUAGAGCUUCCCCUUCGGGGGCAAAGUGACAGGUGGUGCAUGGUUGUCGUCAGCUCGUGUCGUGAGAUGUUGGGUUAAGUCCCGCAACGAGCGCAACCCUUAUUGUUAGUUGCCAUCAUUUAGUUGGGCACUCUAGCAAGACUGCCGGUGACAAACCGGAGGAAGGUGGGGAUGACGUCAAAUCAUCAUGCCCCUUAUGACCUGGGCUACACACGUGCUACAAUGGGAAGUACAACGAGUCGCGAAGUCGCGAGGCUAAGCUAAUCUCUUAAAGCUUCUCUCAGUUCGGAUUGUAGGCUGCAACUCGCCUACAUGAAGCCGGAAUCGCUAGUAAUCGCGGAUCAGCACGCCGCGGUGAAUACGUUCCCGGGCCUUGUACACACCGCCCGUCACACCACGAGAGUUUGUAACACCCGAAGUCGGUGAGGUAACCUUUUGGAGCCAGCCGCCUAAGGUGGGAUAGAUGAUUGGGGUGAAGUCGUAACAAGGUAGCCGUAUCGGAAGGUGCGGCUG
rnacentral:rRNA from 1 species